rnacentral:tRNA from 1 species
UCCCUUGUGGCUCAGUUGGUAAAGAAUCUGCCUGCAAUCCAGAAGACCUGGGUUAGAUCCCUGGGUAGGGAA